CAAUGAGACGCGCCGCUGGAGGGGCGGUGCGCCGCCUCGCAAAGCCUCUGGAGAGACUGAGGCUCUAAUUCGGGUGGGUCUGUCCCUGUAAUUGCCGCUCCGGCCCUCUACCUCCCUCGGUGCCCUGCUGGGCCCAGAAGAGAACCCGGAACCUGGCGGUGGGCGACUCCAGGACCUUCUGGGCAACAGGAUGGCCAGAAAGGGUACCAGAGCUUCUGGAACCGGAGUCACAAGCAGCUGUGAGUCACCAUGACUCGGUGACCUUUGAGGAUGUGACUGUGAACUUCACCCAGGAUGAGUGGGCUCUGCUGGAUUCUUCACAGAAGAACCUUUACAGAGAGGUUGUCGGGGAAAUCUUUAUGAACUUGGCUUCUAUGGGAGAAAGAUGGGAACAGGAUAUUGAAGACUGGUACAGAAAUCAGGGGUGAAUCUUAAGCAACCAUAUUAUAGAGAGAUUUGGUGACAGCAAACAAGGUAGCCGCUGUGGAGAAAGGUUCAGCCAAAUUCUUGACCAUGAUCUGAAAAAGAGAAGUUCUACUGGAGAAAAAUUCUGUGACUGUAGUGUGUGUGGAGUAGUCUUCAUGUCUCACUCAUCCAGGAAUACCAUCAGUGCUCAUACUAAACAGGAAGCACAUGAUCACAAAUGUAAACAGUGUAAGACAGCCUGCAGUAAUCACUCUUUCCAAGUCAGCGACCAGUCUCACACUGAAGACAAACCUUAUGCGUGUCAGGAACAUGAGGAAGCCUUCCUUUCUUUUACCAGCCUUGGUGAAUUCAUUAUAACUCAUCCUGGAAGUGGACCCCAGAAGUGUGGCGUGAGUGUAAAAGGUUUGCACUAUCCCAGCUCACUUAGAACCCACCAAAGAAUCCACACAGGAGAGAAGCCUUAUCAGUGCCAACAGUGUGGAAAAGCCUUCAGUUGUUGGGGCUCAGUUCGAAGACAUCAAAGGACUCAUACUGGCGAGAAACCCUACCACUGUAGGGAGUGUGGGAAAGCCUUCGGCUCUCUUUCAGGCCUUAAAGGACAUGUGAUAAGACACACUGGAGGUGGGCCUUACAAAUGUAAGGGCUGUGGAAAAGUCUUUAAUUCGCCUCGUGCACUUGGUAAACAUGAAAGAACUCACACGGGAGAGAGACCUUUUUUGUGUAAAUACUGUGGGAAAGCCUUCAUUUGUUCAACUUCAGUUCGAAAACACGAAAGAACUCACACUGGUGAAAAACCCUAUGAAUGUAAUCGAUGUGGGAAGACCUUUAUUUCUAAUUCAGGCCUUCAAGGACAUAUGAUCAGGCACACUGGUAUUGGGCCUUAUAAGUGUAAAUUCUGUGGGAAAGUCUUUGGCUCUCCUAGUGCCGUUCUAAGGCAUGAAAGUGCUCACAUUGUAUAGGAUUCUUGUGACCAGAGCUGGGCAAACCUUCACUUUUGAUUAUUUGAGGACACAUCAGGUCUCUGAGGAAAUCUUUUACUAUCCUACUUCAGGUACAGAAAAGAAUUACUGGAGGGAGACCCUAUUUAGAGACUAUGAGAAAGCCAUAAACUCAGAUGUUAUCUAGAAUGCAUGAAAGGCUGAAAGAAAAAGCUUAUAAAUAAAAAAUAAAACA